rnacentral:rRNA from 1 species
AUACGGAGGGUGCAAGCGUUAUCCGGAAUCACUGGGUUUAAAGGGUGCGUAGGCGGCCAUAUUAGUCAGUAGUGAAAGGUUGCAGCUUAACUGUAAGACUGCUAUUGAAACUGUAUGGCUUGAAUUAGGAUGAGGUAGGCGGAAUGUGACAUGUAGCGGUGAAAUGCUUAGAUAUGUCAUAGAACACCGAUUGCGUAGGCAGCUUACUAGACCUAUAUUGACGCUGAGGCACGAAAGCGUGGGGAGCGAACAGGAUUAGAUACCCCGGUAGUCC